rnacentral:miRNA from 1 species
AACCCCUAAGGCAACUGGAUGG